GAUAUUCACUGUUUUGAACUAUUUUGGUUAUUCAUGGCAUUGAUUGACAAAAUCAUGUACUUGAGACCUCUCACUUCCAUUGCCAACUACUCAGUUUUUACAGUUGAAAGCAACUCUUAGUGCAUGUAAUAUUUGUGUUCAGGUACUAUAAUCGAUGCAAAAGAAGUAUGUAAACAAAAUUGUUCCUGCAACCCAUUCAAUUAAGAUUCAAAUGCUCAUUACAAACUUUGCUUUCUUUUUAUUUGAGAAAAUAAGGGAAACCAGAAAGCAUCUUAAUCCUAAACAAGAGAACUUGAGAACUCAAAACAAAGAGGAGGGAGAAUGAGAUCUUUUUUCUUUUCUGACCCAAAGAUAUAUGAGAAAGUCUCUCAAUGCCAACAGGACGGCUCUCACAAACAAUCCUGUUUGAAGUCUGACUCAUUAAGGCUGCUGAUAUGGCUUCCUCGAGUCACCCAAAUGGGUCAGGUCUUCAGAAAGCAAUUAGCAACAGUGUGGAGACUCCUUUUGAGAGGCUGCUUUCUGGCUUUGCUUCAUUGGGCUACUUCCAAUUUGAUGAAAAA